UACAGAGACUGCAAGCGUUAUUCGGAUUCACUGGGCGUAAAGGGUGCGCAGGCGGCCAAGUGUGUGAGGCGUGAAAGCCUGGGGCUUAACUCCAGAAUUGCACCUCAAACUACAUGGCUAGAGCAUUGGAGAGGGUAGCAGAAUUCACGGUGUAGCAGUGAAAUGCGUAGAUAUCUGGAGGAACACCGGUGGCGAAGGCGACUUACUGGACUGUAACUGACGCUGAGGCAUGAAAGCGUGGGGAGCAGACGAGG
rnacentral:rRNA from 1 species